CCUUGAGCCUCUAUUUCCAGACCUCCUCACUGGGUCUCAGCUGAGAACCCACUUUCAGACAAGCAUCUUUAGUUCAGAGUUCCUCACAGUGAGAGGAUCCCUACCCCGCCUUGCUGUCUGUCCUGCAUCCAUUAUACCCUCACACCGUGCUACUCAGCAGGGGAGAAAUGGAGCCCUGGGGAGCCAGCACUUUUCUCUUCUGCCUCUUCCUUGCCUUCCCUCAGGAAGGGGAAAAACUCUGGGUUGUUUGAGUUUGGUCCCCUGUCCUAAGUGACCACAGGAACACUAGGCAGUGAGUACAUAGGGAUUCUUAGCAGAGAGCUAACAAGUCUUCAGAAAUAUAGAAAACAUAGAAGAAGCUUUGAGUGAGGAGAUCAGAAUGUAAUUAGGAGUUUCUUCUGGAGCAAACUCCACCCCAAGAGAGUGAUCCCAAGUUCUUGAAGGCCCACCUGAGCAGAUGACACCAGCGUCUUCACUAUGGCCACAGUUGUGGGAGAGCCAGCCAUUGUGGGGGCAGCUCCACAGGUAGGACUCAUAGCCUGAGCAGCGCACGUCAUCCAGGACAAUGGGUCCUGAACCCUGGCCAAACCGGGCAUUUCCUGGGGCUGACGUGGCCCAGCCACA
rnacentral:lncRNA from 1 species